GGCCGGCUGGCUGCAUUCCAGUAAUACACGCACGAAAACGUAUUCAAAUCUUAUACAUAUGAAAUAACUAAAUGAAUAAGACAGCAUUUAUGCCAUAACGUUUUGUGUAUGAUUUGACGUGUAUUUGCAUGUUGAGGAAAUUUUAUAAAAUUUAGAAAAAUGUAUACAUAGAACGUCGUAUCGAAACGCCUGGCUGGAAUGGAGCCAAUUGGCAAUAUGAGGCAAUAAGACGUGGGCAAAAAAUGUGUUUGCUAAAGCCUGGUUUCCAUAUGGUCGUAACGGUCCUAAUUUGUAAAAAUUGAGUCACGAUCUUUCUCAACAGCUGAAAUACAACCGUUUUUAAGCCUGAUUCUCAUAUGUCGCCGACGUCGGCGAUGCCCAUUGUCGUUGAUCAUUGAUGAGUAAAAUCUUUUGUCUAUGUUCUUCUUCACUGAUCUCAAACAAUAUAUGGCAUCGCCAACGUCGGCGACUUAUGAGAAUCAGGCUUUAGUGACACUGAUAUAAUAGGCAGAGUGAUUAUAAAUGGAGAAUACUUAUGAUUUAUACUGGGUGGGUCCUGUGGCUGACAGAUAAAAACUAUUAUAACCUGGCCGUUGAGAAAGAUCGUGAUUCAAUCUUUAUGACAGUUACAACCACUGUGGAAACCAUGCAGGCUUAAUAUACUGUAUAUUGCGAUGUAUCACGCGUGCAAUGCAUGACUAUACGUACAUGCUCUGGACAAUUACUGAUCAAAAUUUUCCGCAUUUCGCUCGAGGGAACUAUAACUACCGUAAACCUCCGACUAUAAGC